ensembl:rRNA 5S_rRNA 5S ribosomal RNA
GCCAGCAGCCAUAUCACCCUGUAACUCACAACUGGCAACCCACUGAAGCUAAGCAGGUGUGAGCCUGGUCAGUACCUGGAUGGGAGACCUCCUGAGAAAAACUAAGGUUGCUACUGGAA